AACGAACGCUGGCGGCAGGCCUAACACAUGCAAGUCGAGCGGACCUUUCGGGGUCAGCGGCGGACGGGUGAGUAACGCGUGGGAAUAUGCCCUUCUCUACGGAAUAGUCCUGGGAAACUUGGGGUAAUACCGUAUACGCCCUUUGGGGGAAAGAUUUAUCGGGGAAGGAUUAGCCCGCGUUGGAUUAGGUAGUUGGUGGGGUAAUGGCCUACCAAGCCGACGAUCCAUAGCUGGUUUGAGAGGAUGAUCAGCCACACUGGGACUGAGACACGGCCCAGACUCCUACGGGAGGCAGCAGUGGGGAAUCUUAGACAAUGGGGGCAACCCUGAUCGAGCCAUGCCGCGUGAGUGAUGAAGGCCUUAGGGUUGUAAAGCUCUUUCAGCUGGGAAGAUAAUGACGGUACCAGCAGAAGAAGCCCCGGCUAACUCCGUG
rnacentral:rRNA from 1 species